GACUGUAGGCUGCAACUCGCCUACACGAAGCUGGAAUCGCUAGUAAUCGCGGAUCAGCACGCCGCGGUGAAUACGUUCCCGGGCCUUGUACACACCGCCCGUCACACCAUGAGAGUCUGUAACACCCAAAGCCGGUGGGAUAACCUUUAUAGGAGUCAGCCGUCUAAGGUAGGACAGAUGAUUAGGGUGAAGUCGUAACAAGGUAGC
rnacentral:rRNA from 1 species